rnacentral:rRNA from 1 species
AGGGAAUAUUGGGCAAUGGGCGAGAGCCUGACCCAGCCAUGCCGCGUGCAGGAAGAAGGCUUUCUGAGUCGUAAACUGCUUUUGACAGGGAAGAAUAAGCACUACGUGUAGUGCGAUGACGGUACCUGCAGAAUAAGCGCCGGCUAACUCCGUGCCAGCAGCCGCGGUAAUACGGAGGGUGCGAGCGUUGUCCGGAUUUAUUGGGUUUAAAGGGUGCGUAGGCGGCCGUUUAAGUCCGGGGUGAAAGCCCGCUGCUCAACAGCGGAACUGCCCUGGAUACUGGAUGGCUUGAGUACAGACGAGGUUGGCGGAAUGGACUGAGUAGCGGUGAAAUGCAUAGAUACAGUCCAGAACCCCGAUUGCGAAGGCAGCUGACUAGGCUGUUACUGACGCUGAGGCACGAAAGCGUGGGGAGCGAAC